UACGGAGGAUGCAAGCGUUAUCCGGAAUGAUUGGGCGUAAGGCGUCCGCAGGUGGUUUUGUAAGUCUGCUGUUAAAGCGUCAUGCUCAACAUGAUAAAGGCAGUGGAAACUACUCAACUCGAGUGCGUUCGGGGCAGAGGGAAUUCCUGGUGUAGCGGUGAAAUGCGUAGAGAUCAGGAAGAACACCGGUGGCGAAAGCGCUCUGCUAGGCCGCAACUGACACUGAGGGACGAAAGCUAGGGGAGCGAAUGGG
rnacentral:rRNA from 1 species